rnacentral:tRNA from 1 species
GUCGUUGAGUCGAGCGGCGGACUCAUAAUCCGUCGGCCGUGGGUUCGAGUCCCACC